UUUGGAGAGUUUGAUCCUGGCUCAGGACGAACGCUGGCGGCGUGCCUAAUACAUGCAAGUCGAGCGGAGCUUAUCCUUCGGGAUAAGCUUAGCGGCGGACGGGUGAGUAACACGUAGGCAACCUACCCUCUAGACUGGGAUAACUACCGGAAACGGUAGCUAAUACCGGAUAAUUCCUUCACCCUCCUGGGCGAGGGAUGAAAGGCGGAGCAAUCUGCUACUAGAGGAUGGGCCUGCGGCGCAUUAGCUAGUUGGUGGGGUAA
rnacentral:rRNA from 1 species